rnacentral:rRNA from 1 species
AGAGUUUGAUCAUGGCUCAGGAUGAACGCUAGCGACAGGCUUAACACAUGCAAGUCGGAGGGGCAGGCGGGGAGUAGCAAUACUUCGCCGGCGACCGGCGCACGGGUGAGUAACACGUGUGCAACCAACCCCGUACCGGGAGAUAACCCGCGGAAACGUGGACUAACAUCCCAUAACACUGUAUCAUCGCAUGGUGAUGCAUUUAAAAUUCCGGUGGUACGGGACGGGCACGCGCGACAUUAGGUAGUUGGCGGGGUAACGGCCCACCAAGCCGACGAUGUCUAGGGGUUCUGAGAGGAAGGUCCCCCACACUGGAACUGAGACACGGUCCAGACUCCUACGGGAGGCAGCA